UACGUAGGGUGCGAGCGUUAAUCGGAAUUACUGGGCGUAAAGCGUGCGCAGGCGGUUCUGUAAGUCAGCUGUGAAAGCCCCGGGCUUAACCUGGGAAUGGCAUUUGGGACUGCAAGGCUGGAGUUUGGCAGAGGAGACUGGAAUUCCUGGUGUAGCAGUGAAAUGCAUAGAUAUCUGGAGGAACACCGGUGGCGAAGGCGGCAUCCUGGACCAAUAUUAACGCUGAGGAGCGAAAGCCAGGGGAGCAAACGGG
rnacentral:rRNA from 1 species